rnacentral:rRNA from 1 species
AGAGUUUGAUCCUGGCUCAGAGCGAACGCUGGCGGCGUGCUUAACACAUGCAAGUCGAGUGCGCGCCUGUAGCAAUACAGGUGGCGCACGGCGCACGGGUGCGUAACACGUGGGUAAUCUGCCCUUCGAUGGGGAAUAACUCGCCGAAAGGCGAGCUAAUUCCGCAUAACAUUCCGAGGACUUUGGUUCUCGGAUUCAAAGGCGUAAGUCGUCGGAGGAGGAGCCCGCGCACGAUUAGCUAGUUGGUGAGGUAAUGGCUCACCAAGGCUAUGAUCGUUAGCUGGUCUGAGAGGAUGGCCAGCCACACUGGAACUGAGACACGGUCCAGACUCCUACGGGAGGCAGCAGUGGGGAAUCUUGCACAAUGGGCGAAAGCCUGAUGCAGCGACGCCGCGUGGGGGAUGAAGCUUUUCGGAGUG